CGUGGGUAACCUGCCUUGUACUGGGGGAUAGCAGCUGGAAACGGCUGGUAAUACCGCAUAAGCGCACAAUGUUGCAUGACAUGGUGUGAAAAACUCCGGUGGUAUAAGAUGGACCCGCGUCUGAUUAGCUAGUUGGUGAGAUAACAGCCCACCAAGGCGACGAUCAGUAGCCGACCUGAGAGGGUGACCGGCCACAUUGGGACUGAGACACGGCCCAG
rnacentral:rRNA from 1 species